UACGUAGGGUGCAAGCGUUGUCCGGAAUUAUUGGGCGUAAAGAGCUUGUAGGCGGUUUGUCGCGUCUGCUGUGAAAUUUCGGGGCUCAACCCCGAACUUGCAGUGGGUACGGGCAGACUAGAGUGUGGUAGGGGAGACUGGAAUUCCUGGUGUAGCGGUGAAAUGCGCAGAUAUCGAGAGGAACACCUGCGGCGAAGGCGGGUUGCUGGGCUGAUACUGACGCUGAGGCGCGAAAGCUAGGGGAGCGAACGGG
rnacentral:rRNA from 1 species